AUCGCUUCUCGGCCUUUGGCUAAGAUCAAGUGUAGUAUCAAAAUAUCCAUUUAGUCUUGGGCUGCAUUUAUAAAGAGUCGUAUCCAAAGUAUGUAUGGUGAGGCACUUGUUAUAUUUAUUAUUAGUUAUUGCGCGUGCUAAUGUUUUGUUUAAUUUUGAUAUCCAAAUUUUAUGGGAACAAGGUAUU
ensembl:snRNA U2 U2 spliceosomal RNA